rnacentral:rRNA from 1 species
AAAGGAAUUGACGGGGCCCGCACAAGCGGUGGAGUAUGUGGUUUAAUCCGAUGCAACGCGAAGAACCUUACCUGGACUUGACAUCCUGCGAAUCCUCUAGAAAUAGAGGAGUGCCCUUCGGGGAAUGCAGUGACAGGUGCUGCAUGGCUGUCGUCAGCUCGUGCCGUGAGGUGUCGGGUUAAGUCCCGCAACGAGCGCAACCCCUAUCACUAGUUGCCAUCACAUAAUGGUGGACACUCUAGUGAGACUGCCCGGGUUAACCGGGAGGAAGGUGGGGACGACGUCAAGUCAUCAUGGCCCUUACGUCCAGGGCUACACACGUACUACAAUGGUGGAUACAAAGGGUUGCCAAGCCGCGAGGCCGCGCCAAUCCCAAAAAGUCCAUCCCAGUCCGGAUCGCAGUCUGCAACUCGACUGUGUGAAGUUGGAAUCGCUAGUAAUCCCGGAUCAGCAUGCCGGGGUGAAUACGUUCCCGGGCCUUGUACACACCGCCCGUCACACCACGAAAGCUGGUUCUACCCGAAAUCAACGGACUAAUCCCCUUGGGG